rnacentral:tRNA from 1 species
GGUCCCGUAGCUCAGCUGGUUAGAGCGUCGUACUAAUAAAUCUCCAAUGGAGAUUCAUUAAGUGAUGCGAAGGUCGCGAGUUCGAUCCUCUCCGGGACCA